AGAGUCUGUGCUCUCUUGGUUAGAAGGAAAGAAACUUGCUCACAUUAAAGUUAAAAGGAGGUUAUCCUAAGGAUACAAGGAUGUUUACAAGGAAUCCUGGGAAGACUGAACAAUUGAGCUGCAGAGACAGUGGAAACUGAGGUAAUCCAGAGUGCUAGCUGCCCUCCCAUCUUUGUCUCUGUAACCCAUGGCUUCCCCUUUCCUCUCUGCGUAGCUACUCUGAUCUCUCCCAGCCAACUUUCUCUCCAUUUAUUUUCCUCAUAAGAUAUACCUCUGAAAUGGCCACUCCAGCUCAAACUCUAAGUGAAUCUUUAGUGCAAGCACCCAAAUCACACGUAACUUUCUUCCUUGUCCUUUUGGUUCAAAUUCCUUAAGGAGAGGAUCUGAUUGGCUUGGUCUCUCUUCAAGUGAGACCACAAAAAUUGCUGGCCAGCCUAGAUUAAACCACCCUUGCAGGGCCCGAGCCCCUUUCCACUUGUUUGUUACCUGGAAACUGGGGUCUUUGUACUCUGCUAUUUAUGACAAGAGCAAGGAAUGAAGCAGAUUCCCUAAGAGAAGAGCCAGUGAUGGGGGGAAGAAUGGGGAGGUACCACAAAAUAUUUCGAGGAUUUCUAGUCAAAUGUUUACUACUCCUAACAACUUAACACUGAUUGUAUACUAUCAUUUGUUUUCUAUACUUGUUUGCCUAAAAUGGUGUUACUGUUUUGUGUAAGCAAAGAAUUUUAAAAUUUACUCCACAUAAUACCUUCCAUAGUGUUAACUGUUAACAUUUAUUCCUCAAUAUUCAUUAAAUAUUUAUUGAGCACCUACAUGUCAAGCACUAUCAUGAAGGGUAUGGUAAUAAACAUAAUUCUUGACCUCAGGGAGCUUACGUUCUGAAAUUUUUAUUUUAUAUAUAAUCCCAGUUAGGCAUACAAAAUUGUAGAAGUUUUCAUGAUUUUAUAUAAUCAUCACCUUCAGAAUAGAGCCCUUCUCACCACUCAAUUUAAAAAUACACCCACUACCACUAGUAUACCCUUUCAAUAUUUAUCCCCUGCUUCAUUCGUCUUCCUAGAAUUGCACAAACACAUCAUGUAUUAUAUUUAUUGAUCUUGUUUAUUGUCUCUAUUACUAGACUGCAAACUUAUGAAAGUAGAGAUUUUUAUCCCUUUUCUUCACUGUGUAUUCUUAGUGCCAGAUAUUUACUGAAAGCACAAAUAAAUGAAGAAAUGAAUGAAUCAUCUUACUUAUUUUUUGUCAAGCAUCUAAUGAGUCUCAGGCACCAUAUUGGCUAUUUUUAUAAAGAUCAUUUUACUUACUCUUCCCAAUAAGUCCAUGAAGCAUUUGUUAUGGGCGUCUCUACUUCAUAUAUUGAAAAACUGGGCAUAAGAGAGACUAAAAUCCUUGCCCAAGUUCACAUAGCCAAUCGGUGGCAAACGGGUUCAGGUUUGUCUGACUCAAGAGUUCAUGUUCUUCACCUCUAAACUACAUACUAUUUGUAAAUAAAAUACUAGUUUACAGAAGUAGUGAUGGGUCUGUAAUGGUCCAUACUUUGCUGUAAUGUUCGUUUAUUUGAUGACACUGUAGGUUUGAAGCAGAGUUUUAAUUGAGAAAGCAACCUAAAUGGCUUGCUGUGCUACAAUGUUUUUGGCUUCAUAUCCCUGUCCUCUCCAGCCAUGGUUUUUGGGAAAGAGUCCUGAUGUACAUCUAGGAUGUAUUUAUUAUUAAAUAUUUGUCUAGAGUGUUUGUAGUAAACAAAAGUACUUAUCUUUUAAAUAAAACAAGAGGGCAAGUAACAAAGUCACCUUGUUUGGAUAAAAUGUGAAGGAAGCAGGUAAAUCUGUCAAGAGCUAUGGAUAUUGCCACCAAGAUUCUGAAGAGCCUUGUUCCUAUCCAGAAAGACAGGAAACACAGUUCAUAAUAAACUGAGUCCUUAAUGCUUUUAACCAAGAUGGUUGUGAAACACUCAGAAAAAAGCUAGAAUAUAGUAGUGGUUUAAAUGAGCUAUAAAGUAUAAAAGAGAAUAAAGAUAGAAGAACUUGGUAGUAUAAAUAAAACAUAUAAAAAUAUUGAAAUGGUAAUUUUAUACAUGAAAGCAUUAUGAUAAAAUAACCCUGUGGCAAUGAUUGACUACAUCAAAUUAUUUUUUGACAGAACAAAAGAAAGCACUGUAGAUCACCAAAAUCCCUAGGUCAAGGAAUUGAACAUUCUUGACUAGUGCAUUUGCAAAGCCAAAUAACUAUAGAAAUAGUAUCUUCCAGUAUUAUUGUAUUUAUAGUUUUCCCUUUUUCUCUCCUUAAUUUCAAAUCCUAAUACUCUGCCAAGAAGGGAUCUGUAUGUAUUAGCUAUGUUUCUUCUCUGGAAUUUCAACCCAUCCCUUAUGGUUGUGUGGAAAUUCCAUAGACAUUUUCUAGUAGAUGCAGCAAAAAUGGUAGAGUUUGGUGGAAAUAAGUUUCCUUUUUUUUUUUUUAAAUGUGCACUCUGUUCUAUGCUCAGGUUAAUAAGAGAAGAUGAGAAGGCCAGUCUUUCAAAGCAACCCCAACCCUUUGCUUCCUGUUUUUAGUAUGAGUCAAAGAAGGCAUAUUCUCCCAGGCCUUGAUUGGGUAGAGAAAAAGCAAUGCCAGGUAGAGGUAUUUUGAAUGGGAAGAAAAGUGAUGUGAAGGUGAAAUGGGAGAGUUCUCUGAUCCCCUUCAUAGGGCGUGCGACAGGGGUGCUCGCCUGUUCUGUCCCCGUUACUGCUCAAAACCCCUUACAGGAUGGGGAGCGCGCAGGCAGGUGAAGGAGCCCAAGUGGGCGUGUGUUACAGUGCGCCAUUUUAGCUUUGCCAUCCGCGGACGGCUUGAGUGUUAACCAGCUCGGUGGACCGUUUGCCUUUCUGCGAGGGCAGCGGCUUCCUCUAGAAUAAAGAAUGAAGAAAAUUGAAAUGAUCUCUGAAACUCGAGAAUAGUUAUGUAAAAGAGAAAAAACAAAGUCUAUCGUUCAAAGGCUACUGAACCAGGAAACAGGCAGCCCGCGUUAAAAUCCCAGCUCUGGGAUCAACUGGUUAGAUUAUUUUCAUUCAGGCAUCUUUUCUUUCUGCACUACUUCAUCUACCAGUUGCUAACAUUGAAUGAACCUUUACAGUGUUCCAGGUACUGUUUUAAGAGAUUUUCUAUACUCAUAUAACAUUUUUGAAAGAAAAAGUGAAAUAUAGGCCUACAUGUUCAGCCUCAACGUGAACGUGAUGAGGAUGAAGACCUUUAUGAUAAUCCACUUUCACUUAGUGAAUCGGGAUUGGACUGCUGCAUUCUAAAAAUAAUGGUGAGAAGAAUGAAUAAAUUAGAGUUUACUAUGUAAUAAAACCUUCUAAAAAAGAGGAGAGGUAGCAGAAUUUACAAGAAGGUUAAACCUGACCUUACUGAAGAGAAUGAUACCCUCAUAGCAGCGCAUCUUCUUUGCUCACAGAAAGCUCCUUGGACAAAUGUGUUUUGAGUUUCAAGUGAGCAAACCUUCAAUGUGUCUGCCAUUUUGGGGAAGAAGUUGUAACUUGGAGUGAAGGUAGAGGGAUUUAUUAUGAGAGCUUUGCUAGCAGACAUCUCAUUCUUUAAGACAAAAUCAACGCACAAACAUAAUUGGUCAAAGGAAGAAAGCUACAAAACCAAUUCAAUAACAUCUGAAGCCUGAGAGGAAAAUGAAAGACAAGAGGCUGUGGCUGCAGCUGUGUCUGCUGACAACAGGAUAAAAAUGGUUGCAUUGAGAGUGAGCUGCAUUUUCACCAGGCAGAGCAAACUGGGAGCUAAUGUGUUUCUUGGAAAUCAAAAGAGGACUCCAAGAAUAGAAGCUUUUAAGAGGACUGGCUGGAGAGUCAAAGAAGAUCCAUUAGCUUCUGGACCACUGAAAACCUAAGGGCUGAUGGUGGGGCAGGGUAAGUGGCCGGCAGCAGGGAGACAUUUUCUGUAUCUAGGAUGGUAUAGAAAAGACCCCCACUGGACAGAUCUACAAAGAACAACUAAAGAGUCUCAUGGUAGAACAGGUCAGCUCUGGACAUCAUUCAAAUCCAGGGGAGCCUCUUAUACUGGAUUGCAAUUGUGUUGGGCAUGUACAAUGGUGUUCUUUUUCUCUAAUGGCUUCUUUCUUCUGGUCAGUCUCUGGAAGGGGUGAAAGAGUGAGAAAUAGUAGCCAGCAAGUGUAGAAAGAGAUGUGGAAGAGAGAACGGGGAAACAGAAAUUGCAUUUCUCCCACGUUCCAAAUGUAGGUUAUCCGGGUUAAAUGUAGGCCCCACCUGACUAGGCAAAGAUUUUUUCCUUUGUUGUGAGUUUGAAAAGAACUAAACAUCAUACUGAAGUGGAAUUAUUGAAAUUGGAUAGACCCAGGUUCAAAUGUUGACUCAGUUAUGUAACAUCUUGUGAAUUUUGACAGGUUCCUUAACUCCACUGAGUCUGUUUUUAUACCCAUGAAAUGGAUGUAGGAUUGUUAUGAACAUUAAUUGAAAAAUUAUAUAUAAAAUAAGUGUCCAGCAUAGUUCCUGGCACAUACUAGUGCUUGAAAACUACCAAUCAACUUCAUCAAUUUGUGUUAUGCCCUGCAUGGGCACAUAUUUGUCCUGAUACUCUUCAAAAUGUAGAAGUACCCACAGAAAAAUUGUCUCAGUUCAAGCACAGUAUUAUUAAUAUUCUACUGAGUACUAAGUAUGGUCGUUAAUAGUCUAAUAUGAGGAAGUCAAAACAGUCUCUGGAAAAAGUCUUUCUGCAAGCUUUUUGAAGCUUCAGGGAUUGCUACAAAGACUGGAAAAUCGAUCUUGAACUCAGCCUUUUAAUUUCUUUUCAUGAUUACUGUUCUCAAAUGGAGAAUGCAAUUAAAAUUAAUGCUGUCUUAGUUCACUUGCCUCAAAAUAAACAUUGAUCAAAUUCUAUGUGAA
rnacentral:lncRNA from 1 species